rnacentral:rRNA from 1 species
CCUACGGGGGGCAGCAGUCGAGAAUCUUUCACAAUGGGGGAAACCCUGAUGGUGCGACGCCGCGUGGGGGAAUGAAGGCCUUCGGAUUGUAAACUCCUGUCAUGUGGGAGCAAAUUAACAAGAUAGUACCACAAGAGGAAGAGACGGCUAACUCUGUGCCAGCAGUCGCGGUACUACAGAGGGCUCAAGCGUUGAUCGGAAUCACUGGGCGUAAAGUGUGUGUAGGCUGUUUCGUAAGUCGUGUGUGAAAGGCGCGGGCUCAACCCGCGGACGGCACAGGAUACUGCGAGACGAGAGUAAUGGAGAGGGAAGCGGAAUUCGCGGUGUAGCAGUGAAAUGCGUAGAUA